rnacentral:rRNA from 1 species
AGCGAACGCUGGCGGCAGGCUUAACACAUGCAAGUCGAGCGGGCACUUUCGGGUGUCAGCGGCGGACGGGUGAGUAACGCGUGGGAACGUGCCCUCUGGUUCGGAAUAACUCAGGGAAACUUGAGCUAAUACAGGAUACGCCCUUUUGGGGAAAGGCUUGCUGCCGGAGGAUCGGCCCGCGUCUGAUUAGCUAGUUGGUGAGGUAACGGCUCACCAAGGCGACGAUCAGUAGCUGGUCUGAGAGGAUGAUCAGCCACACUGGGACUGAGACACGGCCCAGACUCCUACGGGAGGCAGCAGUGGGGAAUAUUGGACAAUGGGCGCAAGCCUGAUCCAGCCAUGCCGCGUGAGUGAUGAAGGCCUUAGGGUUGUAAAGCUCUUUUAUCCGGGACGAUAAUGACGGUACCGGAGGAAUAAGCCCCGGCUAACUUCGUG